UACAGAGGGUGCAAGCGUUACUCGGAAUUACUGGGCGUAAAGAGUGUGUAGGCGGUGUUCUAAGUCUGUUGUGAAAUCUCCCGGCUUAACUGGGAGGGUGCGGCGGAAACUGGAAUGCUAGAGGAUGGGAGAGGUAAGCGGAAUUCCUGGUGUAGCGGUGAAAUGCGUAGAUAUCAGGAGGAACACCUGUGGUGUAGACAGCUUACUGGACCAUUUCUGACGCUGAGACACGAAAGCGUGGGUAGCAAACAGG
rnacentral:rRNA from 1 species